rnacentral:rRNA from 1 species
AGCGUUGUGGCAACACCGUCCGCUUGCGAGAUUGGAGGGCUGCGCGCCGUUAACCCCCCCAUUCAAAGGUUGACCUCGGAUCAGGUAGGGAUACCCGCUGAACUUAAGCAUAUCAAUAAGCGGAGGAAAAGAAACCAACAGGGAUUGCCUCAGUAACGGCGAGUGAAGCGGCAACAGCUCAAAUUUGAAAUCUGGCGCAAGCCCGAGUUGUAAUUUGUAGAGGAUGCUUCUGGGCAGCGGCCGGUCUAAGUUCCUUGGAACAGGACGUCAUAGAGGGUGAGAAUCCCGUAUGCGACCGGCAGCGCACCCGUCACGUAGCUCCUUCGACGAGUCGAGUUGUUUGGGAAUGCAGCUCUAAAUGGGAGGUAAAUUUCUUCUAAAGCUAAAUACCGGCCAGAGACCGAUAGCGCACAAGUAGAGUGAUCGAAAGAUGAAAAGCACUUUGGAAAGAGAGUUAAAAAGCACGUGAAAUUGUUGAAAGGGAAGCGCAUGCAACCAGACUUGUCGGCGGUGUUCCGCCGGUCUUCUGACCGGUCUACUCGCCGCCGGCAGGCCAGCAUCACGUGGGCGCGCCGGAUAAAGGCGCGGGGAA